UUAGCGUCUUACUGUACGCUGUUUGGCCAUGGAGAACAACGCAUCCCAGCUGCCACACGUUAACAGCCGAAUCAAAACGAAAAUAUCCGAGCAGCUAAGGAUUGAAACGAAGUCCGAAAAGAAAACGACAGCAAGAUCAGUGGGUUGCUGUCAUGUGACAGCCACACACAAAAAACGGAAAUGCAUCAUAGAGUGAGAGCAAGCCAUGUGGGAUUCUUGCUCCUGAUAUCCUGAUGAUACUGUCCUGUAUGACUCCAACAGAACACUCACAGAAAGGAGAGCAGUGUCAUACUACAAGAUAACUAGCAACAAACCCUUGUUUGUCCUUGUUUGGCUACUCAUUUGUCUACUUCCUGAAGAGGAGCAUGCUAGCCUCGACACCUCAGUUCUUGCUUCCAUUAACAGCUGUGUUAUGGAGCGCAUCCUCACAUCAUGGUCUACUGCAGCAGGUGGAUACGGAAGACAAUUGGUCCAAACCAUCUUGAAGCCUUUUGGACAGAGGAGCGGAUGACCGAGCUGGUUAACCUCUACAUAAAUAGACACAUGUCAAGUGGGUUUAUCAAGGCCCAAAUAUGCUGAGGAAUACAGGCUGCCUUGGUGGCCUAAGGAGUCAUGUCAAUGAUCAGCUGUUUGUUGAGGCAGCAGCAGCAGGAGCAGCACCAACAACAGAAGCAGCAGCAGCAGCAGGAGCAGCACCACCAGCACUAUAAACGCCAUCAGCAGCAGCGGCAGAUUAUAAAGAAGGAUAACAAUGAAUACAUGAAAUCAGAGUGGGAAGUUGUGCUUUUAUGUUUCAUAUAUACUGUAUAAAUAUAUGCACCUUACUUGAGUGUCUCUACAAUUUACUUAUACUGCAAUGCAAUUAAAAUAAAGGCAUUAAUUUAAUUCAUUUGUCAUUUCAGUUUUUAUUCUUACAUUCAUUUCACCUGGGUGCCAGCCAAA